CACGUAGGGCGCAAGCGUUGUCCGGAAUUAUUGGGCGUAAAGAGCUCGUAGGCGGUCUGUUGCGUCCGCUGUGAAAACUCAGGGCUUAACCCUGAGCUUGCAGUGGGUACGGGCAGACUAGAGUGCGGUAGGGGAGACUGGAAUUCCUGGUGUAGCGGUGAAAUGCGUAGAGAUGUGGAGGAACACCGAUGGCGAAGGCGAGCCU
rnacentral:rRNA from 1 species